AACGCACAUUGCGCCCUUUGGUAUUCCGAAGGGCAUGCCUGUUCGAGCGUCAUUAUCAACCUAAACUUCGGUUUGUGUUGGACUCGAUUUAGUUAUCGGUCUCAAAUGUAACGACGGGGUCGUGGAACUCUAGAUGCAACGAGCUUCGGCACGCAUUGAGGGGAACCCGGCGCCAGUCAUCUGCCGUUUACGGCACUACACACAAGGUUGACCUCGGAUCAGGUAGGAAUACCCGCUGAACUUAA
rnacentral:misc_RNA from 1 species